UACGGAGGGUGCUAGCGUUGUUCGGAUAUACUGGGCGUAAAGCGCACGUAGGCGGCGCGGUAAGUCAGGGGUGAAAUCCCGGAGCUCAACUCCGGAACUGCCCUUGAAACUGCAGUGCUAGAAUCCUGGAGAGGCGAGUGGAAUUCCGAGUGUAGAGGUGAAAUUCGUAGAUAUUCGGAAGAACACCAGUGGCGAAGGCGACUCGCUGGACAGGUAUUGACGCUGAGGCGCGAAAGCGUGGGGAGCAAACAGG
rnacentral:rRNA from 1 species